rnacentral:tRNA from 2 species
GUCCCGGUAGCUCAGCUGGAUAGAGCAUUCGCCUCCUAAGCGAAGGGUCGGAGGUUCAAAUCCUCUCCGGGACACCA